AUGUUGGGUUCACGACUAUAAACAUAGACUCACAGUUAAAACUCUUGAAUGUGACUCUGUGAAGGGUGAGCUAGAGCUCCUCACUGGAAAGUAUAAACAAAACGAGUUAAACAUUAAAAAGUUUGAUACUUCCAGUGACACUGUUCGUAAUCUGUGCGAUGUGCAACUUGCUUAUAAAGAAAAUAAGGAAUCAGUGACAGUUGAAGAGAAGUCUGCAGUGGAUGAUGAACCACAUUCAAUCGUUGCUGAUGUUGCUGAUGAUUCGGAUGCUACCAAACCCGAUCAUUACGCUUGGAACUGUGUUAUGUCUUGGUAUGCUGAGAGUCGGGGUAUUCCAAUUAAAACUGAUGAUUCAGGUGCUGUGGUUUUAGAUUAUGAUCGUGACGAAAAUGCUUUAACAGGGAAAUCU
rnacentral:lncRNA from 1 species